GUGAAAUUCUAUGAAAUUGUGAAACAAUAUCACUUCUAAGGAUGUGGUCGUAGGUUCGAAUCCUACAGGGCGUGCCA
rnacentral:tRNA from 1 species